GAAAUGCGAUAAGUAAUGUGAAUUGCAGAAUUCAGUGAAUCAUCGAAUCUUUGAACGCACCUUGCGCUCCUUGGUAUUCCUUGGAGCAUGCCUGUUUGAGUAUCAUGAAAUAUUCAAAGCAAAAUCUUUUGUUAAUUCAAUUGGUCUUUGCUUUGGUCUUGGAGGUCUUUUGCAGCUUCACACCUGCUCCUCUUUGUGCAUUAGCUGGAUCUCAGUGUUAUGCUUGGUUCCACUCGGCGUGAUAAGUUAUCUAUCGCUGAGGACACUGUAAAAAGGUGGCCAAGGUAAAUGCAGAUGAACCGCUUCUAAUAGUCCAUUGAGUUGGACAAUAUUCUUUAUGAUCUGAUCUCAAAUCAGGUAGGACUACCCGCUGAACUUAAGCAUAUCAAUAAGCGGAGGAAAAGAAACUAAC
rnacentral:rRNA from 1 species